UACGGAGGGUGCGAGCGUUGUUCGGAAUCACUGGGCGUAAAGGGCGUGUAGGCGGUCCGCUAAGUCUGAUGUGAAAGCCCGGGGCUCACCCCCGGAAGGGCAUUGGAAACUGACGGACUCGAGUCCCGAAGAGGAGGGUGGAAUUCCUGGUGUAGCGGUGAAAUGCGUAGAUAUCAGGAAGAACACCUAUGGCGAAGGCAGCUCUCUGGGACGGUACUGACGCUGAGACGCGAAAGCGUGGGGAGCGAACAGG
rnacentral:rRNA from 1 species